rnacentral:rRNA from 1 species
CAGGCCUAACACAUGCAAGUCGAGCGGACUUAUCCUUCGGGAUAGGUUAGCGGCGGACGGGUGAGUAACACGUAGGCAACCUGCCUGUAAGAUCGGGAUAACUACCGGAAACGGUAGCUAAGACCGGAUAGCUGGUUUCUCCGCAUGGAGGGAUCAUGAAACAUGGGGCAACCUGUGGCUUACGGAUGGGCCUGCGGCGCAUUAGCUAGUUGGUGGGGUAAUGGCCCACCAAGGCGACGAUGCGUAGCCGACCUGAGAGGGUGAUCGGCCACACUGGGACUGAGACACGGCCCAGACUCCUACGGGAGGCAGCAGUAGGGAAUCUUCCGCAAUGGGCGCAAGCCUGACGGAGCAACGCCGCGUGAGUGAUGAAGGUUUUCGGAUCGUAAAGCUCUGUUGCCAAGGAAGAACGCCUCGGAGAGUAACUGCUCUGAGGGUGACGGUACUUGAGAAGAAAGCCCCGGCUAACUACGUGCCAGCAGCCGCGGUAAUACGUAGGGGGCAAGCGUUGUCCGGAAUUAUUGGGCGUAAAGCGCGCGCAGGCGGUCUUUUAAGUUUGGUGUUUAAGCCCGGGGCUCAACCCCGGUUCGCACUGAAAACUGGGAGACUUGAGUGCAGGAGAGGAAAGCGGAAUUCCACGUGUAGCGGUGAAAUGCGUAGAGAUGUGGAGGAACACCAGUGGCGAAGGCGGCUUUCUGGACUGUAACUGACGCUGAGGCGCGAAAGCGUGGGGAGCAAACAGGAUUAGAU